CGUGUAGGCGGCCCGAUAAGUCCGUUGUGAAAGUCGAGGGCUCAACCCUCGAAUGCCGGCGGAUACUGUCGGGCUAGAGUCCGGAAGAGGCGAGUGGAAUUCCUGGUGUAGCGGUGAAAUGCGCAGAUAUCAGGAGGAACACCAAUGGCGAAGGCAGCUCGCUGGGACGGAACUGACGCUGAGACGCGAAAGCGUGGGAGCAAACA
rnacentral:rRNA from 1 species